rnacentral:rRNA from 1 species
CCUACGGGUGGCAGCAGUGGGGAAUAUUGGACAAUGGGCGAAAGCCUGAUCCAGCCAUGCCGCGUGUGUGAAGAAGGCCUUCGGGUUGUAAAGCACUUUCAGUGGGGAAGAAAGCCUUGGGGCUAAUACCCUCGAGGAAGGACAUCACCCACAGAAGAAGCACCGGCUAACUCCGUGCCAGCAGCCGCGGUAAUACGGAGGGUGCGAGCGUUAAUCGGAAUUACUGGGCGUAAAGCGCGCGUAGGCGGUCUGAUAAGCCGGUUGUGAAAGCCCCGGGCUCAACCUGGGAACGGCAUCCGGAACUGUCGGGCUGGAGGGAAGAGGAGGAAGGUGGAAUUCCGGUGGUGGCGGUGAAAGGGGUAGAGAUCGGGAGGAAUACAGUGGCGAAGGCGGCCUUCUGGACUGACACUGACGCUGAGGUGCGAAAGCGUGGGUAGCAAACAGGAUUAGAUACCCGAGUAUC